AGCAUAUCAAUAAGCGGAGGAAAAGAAACCAACAGGGAUUGCCCUAGUAACGGCGAGUGAAGCGGCAACAGCUCAAAUUUGAAAUCUGGCCCUCGGGUCCGAGUUGUAAUUUGUAGAGGAUGCUUUUGGUGAGGUGCCUUCCGAGUUCCCUGGAACGGGACGCCAUAGAGGGUGAGAGCCCCGUCUGGUUGGACACCGAGCCUCUGUAAAGCUCCUUCGACGAGUCGAGUAGUUUGGGAAUGCUGCUCUAAAUGGGAGGUAUAUGUCUUCUAAAGCUAAAUACCGGCCAGAGACCGAUAGCGCACAAGUAGAGUGAUCGAAAGAUGAAAAGCACUUUGAAAAGAGAGUUAAAAAGUACGUGAAAUUGUUGAAAGGGAAGCGCUUAUGACCAGACUUGGGCUUGGUUGAUCAUCCUGGGUUCUCCCUGGUGCACUCUUCCAGUUCAGGCCAGCAUCAGUUCGCUGCGGGGGAUAAAAGUUUUGGGAAUGUGGCUCCUCCGGGAGUGUUAUAGCCCAUUUCAUAAUACCCUGCUCCGGACUGAGGUUCGCGCAUCUGCAAGGAUGCUGGCGUAAUGGUCAUCAGCGACCCGUCUUGAAACACGGACCAAGGAGUCGUCUUCGUAUGCGAGUGUUCGGGUGUUAAACCCCUACGCGUAAUGAAAGUGAACGCAGGUGAGAGCUUCGGCGCAUCAUCGACCGAUCCUGAUGUUCUCGGAUGGAUUUGAGUAAGAGCAUACGGGGCCGGACCCGAAAGAAGGUGAACUAUGCCUGUAUAGGGUGAAGCCAGAGGAAACUCUGGUGGAGGCUCGCAGCGGUUCUGACGUGCAAAUCGAUCGUCAAAUAUGGGCAUGGGGGGCGAAAGACUAAUCGAACCUUCUAGUAGCUGGUUUCCGC
rnacentral:rRNA from 1 species